UGGGGAAUAUUGGGCAAUGGGCGAAAGCCUGACCCAGCCACGCCGCGUGAGUGAUGAAGGCCUUCGGGUCGUAAAGCUCUGUGGGGAGGGACGAACAAGCUUGGGGCUAAUCACCCGAGCUCUGACGGUACCUCCUUAGCAAGCACCGGCUAACCAUGUGCCAGCAGCCGCGGUAAUACAUGGGGUGCAAACGUUGCUCGGAAUCAUUGGGCGUAAAGCGCACGUAGGCGGUUCGUUAUGUCGGAUGUGAAAGCCCUCGGCUUAACCGGGGAAGUGCAUCCGAAACUGGCGAGCUUGAGUACUAAAGAGGGUCGCGGAAUUCCCGGUGUAGAGGUGAAAUUCGUAGAUAUCGGGAGGAACACCAGCGGCGAAGGCGGCGACCUGGGUAGAUACUGACGCUGAGGUGCGAAAGCGUGGGGAGCAAACAG
rnacentral:rRNA from 1 species